rnacentral:rRNA from 1 species
GGGGAUGCGUUCCAUUAGAUAGUAGGCGGGGUAACGGCCCACCUAGUCAACGAUGGAUAGGGGUUCUGAGAGGAAGGUCCCCCACAUUGGAACUGAGACACGGUCCAAACUCCUACGGGAGGCAGCAGUGAGGAAUAUUGGUCAAUGGGCGAUGGCCUGAACCAGCCAAGUAGCGUGAAGGAUGACUGCCCUAUGGGUUGUAAACUUCUUUUAUAAAGGAAUAAAGUCGGGUAUGCAUACCCGUUUGCAUGUACUUUAUGAAUAAGGAUCGGCUAACUCCGUGCCAGCAGCCGCGGUAAUACGGAGGAUCCGAGCGUUAUCCGGAUUUAUUGGGUUUAAAGGGAGCGUAGAUGGAUGUUUAAGUCAGUUGUGAAAGUUUGCGGCUCAACCGUAAAAUUGCAGUUGAUACUGGAUGUCUUGAGUGCAGUUGAGGCAGGCGGAAUUCGUGGUGUAGCGGUGAAUGCUUAGAUAUCACGAAGGACUCCGAUUGCGAAGGCAGCCUG